rnacentral:rRNA from 1 species
AGUGAACGCUGGCGGUAGGCCUAACACAUGCAAGUCGAACGGCAGCACAGUAAGAGCUUGCUCUUACGGGUGGCGAGUGGCGGACGGGUGAGGAAUACAUCGGACUCUACUUUUUCGUGGGGGUUAACGUAGGGAAACUUACGCUAAUACCGCAUCCGACCUACGGGUGAAAGCAUGGGAUCUUCGGACCUUGCGCGAUUGAAUGAGCCGAUGUCGGAUUAGCUAGUUGGCGGGGUAAAGGCCCACCAAGGCGACGAUCCGUAGCUGGUCUGAGAGGAUGAUCAGCCACACUGGAACUUGGACACGGUCCAGACUCCUACGGGAGGCAGCAGUGGGGAAUAUUAGACAAUAGGCGCAAGCCUGAUCCAGCCAUACCGCGCGGGUGAAGAAGGCCUUCGGGUUGUAAAGCCCUUUUGUUGGGAAAGAAAAGCAGCAGGUUAAUACCCCGCUGUUCUGACGGUACCCAAAGAAUAAGCACCGGCUAACUUCGUG